CCACUUCAGGCUGAUCAUCAGAAAAGGCCUGCCUUUAGGAUAUUUCCCCUCUCUCUCCCUUCCUUUCUAGUUCCCUUGCCAACAGGCCUUCGCCAUCUCACGCCUACAUUAAUUAUUACAACAGCUUACUGGAUGGGCUUCUGGACUCCCGAAUCUACUCCAUAUCCUGCUGCUAGACUGAUCUUCUGUUUGAUUGUUGUGGAAAAAAGGGGAUAAGUCCUGUGGAAAAUU
rnacentral:lncRNA from 1 species